rnacentral:tRNA from 1 species
GGCAUAGCUCAGCUGGUAGAGCAGCGGUCUCCAAAACCGCGUGUCCUGGGUUCGAAUCCUAGUACC